rnacentral:rRNA from 1 species
GACGAACGCUGGCGGCGUGCCUAAUACAUGCAAGUAGAACGCAGUUGCGAACGGGUGAGUAAGGCGUAGGUAACUUCCUCAAAGCGGCGGUUAACUAUUGGAAACGAUAGCUAAUACCGCAUACUGUGAGAUGGACCUGCGUUGGAAUAGCCAGUUGGUGAGGUAAAGGCUCACCAAGGCGACGAUACAAAGCCGACCUGAGAGGGGGAACGGGCAAAAUGGGGAUGGGAAAAGGGCCAGAAGCCCAAGGGAGGCAGGAGUAGGGAAACUUAGGGAAUGGAAGGAAGUCUUACCGGGCAACGGCGGGUGAGUGAAGAAGGUUUUCGGAUGGUAAAGAUCUGUUGUUAGGGAAGCGGUAACUAACCAGAAAGGGACGGCUAACUACGUGCCAGCAGCCGCGGUAAUUC